GCCAAAGGCACUGCUUUCAAACAAAUAUAAGUUUGUUGUUGGAUAUACAAGUACACAGCUACUAAGGACACUGGUGGUUGAGGGUGUAACUGGGGAUCGACUGCAUAACUGUAAAGAGAUAGCUAAUUAAAAUGUGAUGGGACUUACAGUGUCAGUGCUUUCAUACGGUACCUUGAAAUUUUAGGAAUACUAUCCUUCAGUUAUAGUGAAUCCUACCAGCAUUCAGUUGACCAUAACUAUUCAGUAAGAGUU
rnacentral:lncRNA from 1 species